UGCGUAGGCGGAUCAAUAAGUCAGUGGUGAAAUCUCUCGGCUCAACCGGGAAACUGCCAUUGAUACUGUUGAUCUUGAGUUCGGUUGAGGUAGGCGGAAUGUGUAAUGUAGCGGUGAAAUGCUUAGAUAUUACACAAAACACCAAUUGCAUAGGCAGCUUACUAGACCGACACUGACGCUGAGGCACGAAAGCGUGGGGAGCGAACAGGAUUAGAUACCCUGGUAGUC
rnacentral:rRNA from 1 species